rnacentral:rRNA from 1 species
UACGUAGGAGGCGAGCGUUGUCCGGAAUCACUGGGCGUAAAGCGCGUGUAGGCGGAUGACUAAGUUUGCUGUGAAAGCGCCUGGCUUAACCGGGCGAGGUCGGCGAAAACUAGUCGUCUGGAGGCCGGUAGAGGGGGGUGGAAUUCCGGGUGUAGUGGUGAAAUGCGUAGAGAUCCGGAGGAACACCCGUGGCGCAGGCGGCCCCCUGGGCCGCGCCUGACGCUGAGACGCGAAAGCGUGGGGAGCAAACAGG